UACUGUGAGGGAACUUUGAAAAUGGUAAUAAGUAUUUUGGGGUGUAGUAAAUAUAGUUGUACCUUUUGUAUUAGGGUUUAAUAAAAAUUUUGAUUUAUGUUGAGUUCCCGAAAAAUCUUGAGCUAUAGGGGAUUAGGUAUAAUCGUUUCAUAGAUUAUGUUGAUUUUUUUAUAGAAAUGAAAUUUUAUUCGAAAGGUUUGAUAUCUGGUUAGGAUUAAAAAUUAUAUAUUUUGCUGUGGGAUUAUUUAUUGAGUAUGUUCAUUGAUUUAAUUUUUUGGGAUAAGCUGAGAGAUUUUUUUAUAUAUUAAUGGUAUUGGGGAAUGCAAGGCUUAGAAUUUGCUUUAGUUUUGUAAUAAAGAAUUUUUUUUAUGUUAUGGUUUAAAAAUUAUGGAUUUUUUAAUUAAUUUAUAUUGGAAGGGUUAAUGUUGAGAUUAGUAUAAUUGGAUGGGAUUAUUAAUUUUAAAUUUUUGAUUUUAAGGUUAAAAUGAAGGAAGAAUUCGGCAAAAUUUAUUUCUGAAUGUUUAUCAAAAACAUUGUAUUUUGGGUUAAUAAAAUAUAAGACCUGCUCAAUGAGUUUAUUUAAUUGCUGUGGUAUUAUGACUAUACGAAGGUAUUGUAAUAAGGCUUUAAUUGGGUGCUAAGAGAAUGGUUUAACAGGGAUAGGCUUUUUUCUUACUUAAAUUAGAAUUUAAUUUAAAAAUGAAAAAGUUUUUAUGUAAUUUUAGGACAAGAAGACCCUAUGAAUUUUUUUAAAAAUUAUUUUGGAGGUUUAUUGGAAUAAAAAUAGGAAUGGUUUUUAAUUAAUUGGGGUGAUUUUUAAAUCUUGAGAAACUUUAGAAAUAUGUUUUUUGAUCCAAUAAUAUUGAUAGAUUGAGUAAAAUACUCUAGGGAUAACAGCGUUAUUAUUUUGGAUAGUUCAUAUAGAUAAAAUAGAUUGCGACCUCGAUGUUGGAUUAGGAUACCUUUAUAAUGAAGAAGUUAUGAAAGGGAGUUUGCUCAACUUUUAAAUUCCUACAUGAUCUGAGUUCAGACCGGCGUGAGCCAGGUUGGUUUCUAUCUAAAUUGUAAGUAAAUCUUAUUAGUACGAAAGGAAUUUGAGAUUUAAAUUGUUUUGGAGAUUGAGGGUGAGUGAUGUUAGCUUG
rnacentral:rRNA from 1 species